UAACAUGAUCCUCCAACCUUGGCCUCCUAAAGUUCUGGGAUUAUAGGCAUGAGCCACUGGGUCUGGCCCUAAAUCAUGUUUAAUAAUUUACUUUCGUUACAAAAAAAUGCAUACAUUAUAUAAAAUGCAGAAAAUGCAGAUAAGGAUGAAGACAAUAGAGAGUCUCAUAACUCCAGGAGUAAGAGAUUAACACUAUUAACAUUUUGAUGCCUAUUCUUUUGGUCUUUUUCCUGUGCAUAUGGACACCAAUAUUUUUAUAAAGUUGAGAUUAUAUUGUACACUCUGUUGUAUGACCUUGUCUUUUUACUUAUCUAUUAUGAACAUAUAUCUACAUCGUUAAAUAUUCUUCUAUAAUAUCAUUUAAAAAUAAAUAUAUGGUCUUUUUUGUAUAUACAUAUCUGUAUAGUUACACUGUAAUUUAAAAAAUCAACUCACUAUUAUUGGAUAUUCAGGUUGUUUUCAAUUAUUCCCUAUUAGAUAAGUAAAUCCUUGAUAACUCUUAUAGUAAGUAAGAAUUACCUUCCUCUGCCUUGUGCUGUCUUCACUGAGUGUUUCCAGUGGACACAGACAUUGGCAUCAUUUGAGAUUUUAGUAUCACAUUUGAGAUCUGUAUUUGGGUCCCGUUCUGGCCAUAUAUUUACUGUGUAACCUGGAAUAAAUUACCCUUUCUGAGUUUCGGUGUUUUCAUUAGUAAGUGAGUACCAAUAAUAAUAGUGACUACCUCAUGAAAUUAUUCCGAGAGUUAAACUGAGAGACUUAGCAUAGACCAUCAAUGUGUGUAAAUGCUGGGUCAAAGGAUAUGUACUAUUUUUGAGACAGGAUAAAAUUGCUCUAUUACCUUCCAGAAGGGUUGAGCUAUUUAUAUCCUUGACAGCAGUGUAAGACAGUACCCAUUUUCUCGGCAACUUGACAACAUUGAGUAUUAUCAUUUUAAAAAAUUUGCCAACUUGAUGGGCAAAAAAGAUACAGCAUCAUUUUAAUUUGCAUUUCUGAUCAUGCGAUUUUUAAUAAAUGUUUACUUAUGUGAGUCACAUGGUCCUGCUGACCGUGGAAAGAGGAGACUGAUAAGCGAACCAAGGUACCCAGAAUGAAGGAUGGCAGAGUUAUAAAAUACGCAGCUGAUGGGGGAGACAGGGCUUGGAAGAACGACACUUUAUAAGCAUAUAAACUGUCCCUCUAGAGAUCUGAACUCAAAAUUAUAGGCAGCAUUGUAUAUUGGGUUGUCUGGGAAUUUGAGGCAGCCAAGAUUCAAAGCUUGGAAAGGAAGUUUAAGUUGGAGGACAGACAAGGGAACUGAGCCUCUUUUUCACAGGAUGGUUGGCCACACGCCUCUGAACACUUUCAAGCCUGGCCCCGCUCCCUAUGUGGUGGGGAAUCAGUUCCAACAGCCCCUGUGUCUGAGGUGCUCUGCCCCCCACUCUCACCGUCAUGGAAGGAAUAGAGCAGCAGGGCAAGACUGCCAUCAGCUUGAUGAUGCAAUUCCUCUGGCAGCUGACAACAACGAAGGGCAAAACAACCUCUGCCAAUGAAGGAGCAUAAAAACCCUGAGUGUUAGUCCUUGGCACUUCUUCACGGCUUUAUUCCACAUCAGAGGAAAAUAAGGAAGCAAGAUGUAGAAACAGGGCUAAAAUUAGCCUUCCAGAUUCUAUUUUAUAAGACUUCUAGAGUGUCACCCCCACACACCCACACACAAACAGUAAUGAAAGAUAUUUUCACUUUUGCCAAGCUCAUCUAUUGACUGAUCCCUUGCCUGAGGUCUUCUGAAAUGCACUUGUUACUCUAACCUGGAACCAGGACUUCAUUUAUUCAUUCAGUCACGCUCAACACUCUGAAUACAAUGGUAUAGAAAAUACGCUCUUGUCCUGUAGAUGCUCUUAGUGACCUGGGGAAACCCUCAGCCACUUGCGAGUUUUUCCAACUCAGUGCUUUAGAAAACUUGCAAAUACAACUAUAUAUUAAGUAUGUGUGUAUAUAUAUGUAUAUAUAUACACACACACGUAUAUAUUUAAAUUAUCAUUGCUAGUAGGUAUCAAGGAGCAUUCAGUGACUCCUCUCCUCUUGAAGAACCAAAGCUGAUGAAAAGAAGGCCAGGUAAGGUACAGACCCUGGGUAGAAAAGGAACUUUUCUGUUCUGAGAGCCACAUACCAUCCUGGGACCUUCCUCUGCCUUGUGCUGUCUUCACUGAGUGUUUCCAGUGGACAACUCUCAGAUGCCCAGGAGCUGCUCUGCUGGGUGCCACACCACUCCUCAGAACUUCCAAAUAGCUCUCGUUGCUCCUACUGGGGAACAUGCCCAGAUAUUCUCACUGCUAGGCUCUUUUUUGGGCUCCCAGGUAGCACUUCCUCAGCACCCACCUCUUGGCAGAAGAAGCCAAUACAUUCCCUUUAGAUCUGGAGCCCAUGAGAAAGAGAUAUUCAUACUACAAAAGGAGAAUCUUUAGAGGGUAACCCCAGACAUGUAAUUAUUACCACAAGAUCUUUGAAAGCUCUGGCAGAGAUUUUGACUUGUAAUCAUCUGGAAUCAUUGCUUGGUAGACUGGGCAAUUGUCCUGCAUCUUUUAGGACUAAUGAUAUUGGAAACGAGAGGGACACUGCUUGGCAUUUGGGAUUGUAAAUAGCAGCAGGAUGGACAUGCUGAUGGUCCAGCUUCUACAGGGCACGUAGCUGUUAACUGAUGGAAUCAACAGCCUAACCUUGCACAACAGCCUAACCUUGCAAGGGAAAGCCCCCCACCCCUUGCUUAUCUCUGCUGACCCAAGGAAGCAUCUUGGGUCCCCUGUUUCCUCAAGAUUUCCCCUGACUGUCCAGCCUCUCAGGUCACUGAUCUUGCCUGUCCUAUUUUUCUAUCUUGACACCUUCUUGUGCACCUCCAAAUAACCAAUCUGUCCCCAUGUCUCUCUGACUUCAAAUCCUAACUAUCUCUCAAGUCUAUUCAGUUCUGAUUAUGUUCAGCACCAUCACCCUCUUUGUAGCCACCAUCAUCACUCCCCACGACUCUUGACAUUUUGGUCUCCAUAUUUUCAGUCUUGUUCCUCUUCCAUUUAUUCUCCCCAGCAAGUCUGGGAGACCUUAAAAUACUUCAAUGGCUUCCUAUUGCUCUUUAAAAAGUCCCAAAUUUCUAACAUAGCCUUAUGGCCCAGGUCCUUGCACAUACGUUCAGCUUCUUUCUGCCCCUGUUCACUGGGCUUCCAUUAAGUUGGUGCAAAAGCAAUUGCAGCUUUUGCCUUGAAAGUAAUGACAAAAACCACAAUUGCUUUUGCGUCAACCUAAUAACACCUUAGCCAUAGCCAUCUUUUGGUUUCUCAGACCACAAUUGCUCCCUUCUGUCUCAGGUCACUCAUGUUUCCCUCAGUCUAAACCACUUAUUCCCCAUCCCCCGUUUAAUUCCCUGAAUUGUUCAGAUCUCUGCCCGCAACUCUCUUCCUUAUAGAUGUCCAUCCUCACUUCCUGGACCAGGAAGUGCAUAUUCUUAGCUCUCUAUGUAAUGCAUAUUCUUAGCUCUCUAUGUAAUGUGUCCAUCAUGGCCCUUUUCACAAUUCAUAAAUUUAUAUUUACAUUAUCAUUUAAUUGACUUCUGCAGCCAAUUAGGCUCUAAAAUACACAAGGGAAGAGACCAGAGUUUCCUUCUCACUAUUCAAUUUCUGGCACAUGUUUGUUAUAUAGCGGAUAAUCAAUAAAGUACUUAUUAAAAGAAUGAAUAAAGAAAUGACUUAACAAGACCAGUUAGCUUUCUCAAUAAACCUUAAGAUUUUUUUUCCUCCAGAAAUAAAAUACAAUGUAUGUAUGAUUUUUCCUGAUUUUGUCACAUUGGAUACUUCAGAUAAUAAAAUCAAAGAGGCCAAAUAUCUCUGGGGUUCCAGGGAUUGGGAAAACAACCUGAGUUUUCACCCUUUAAUGUCAAUUUCAUAGGUUACUCUGGUGAUUUAAGGUGUGCAUGGAGUAGGGUAACAUAGUGAAUGGGUUUUAUUAUUAACUUUCUUUUCCCCAGCACCUCCUACCCUUGACCUUACUCAUGAGUCCUUGUCAAAAGUUUACUCAAGGAUCCCUUCAGCAUCACAGGCUCAUGGUCUUCUUCUUGCUGCCUCCAAUCAUUGGUCAUUAGAAAGGUAUUUCUUGAGUGUACACACGUGUAAGAAUGAACACAUGUAUGUGCAAAAACUGUGUAUUAUGCUUUCAUUUCCAGCUUGGAAUAUGACCCUCUUCACCCUCUCCUAAUCUUAGAUUUCUAGGUCCAGCCAAAAUUCUGUAAGAGUAAUCGUUCCAUUUGUUGAGUAAUUACAAUGUGCUUAACACUGCUGAGUGCAUUACAUAAGUUAUUUCCUUUCAUACUUAUGAGUGGUGGGGUGGGUAUUAUAUUUUCUAUUUGAAAGAAAAAAAUGGGUAAGAGCAUCAAAGCUUAGAGACACUGAUUAACUCAUUGAGUGUCAUCUGGCUGACUCUGAAAGCCACACACGUACUCGCUAUGCCAUGCUGCCUGCAUUUAUUCCACAAAGCAUUUCUUGGUCAUUUUCAUUCUUACCGACUUCCUCUUCCUCUGAAUUGUUACAGCUCCUUCUGGCUGUGACGCUUGGGAUUUCAUUAUGCUCUGUGCAAAUUUAGGACGUCCAAUGUAGAUUCCCUCUGUCUCCCCAGCUGUCCUUGUGCUGCAGGAGGGUAAGGGCUACCAUAUCUGCCCUUCCUCACAUGGAGCCCAAGUUGGACUAAAGAACGUGGGGUCUGCAUAGGCAUAUUUUGUAGUUAAUUACACCCACCCCAUGGCAUGAAGUAGUGGGAAGGAGGGGGCAGGAGUUCAUCAGGGGAGCCAUCCACAAGGGAAGGGUGGCGCAGGGAACGUCCUGCAACAAGUAGGCUGCCCAGUGAGUGAGCCACGACUUUGGAAGUGUUGUGGUAGUUUUGUUUACAUUUGCACAUGUCCCAAGUGGCUAAGUAAUCAUAGAAGUAUUGCUUCCAUGGAAAGGGCAAGCACAGACCUCUUCGAAAACAAACUAUAUACAUCUUGUCAAUGGAAUGGCAUUCUGCAAAAUAGAAAAGCAUAUGCUAUGUGGUGGUGAGUGUUAGAACAACAAACCGUAGCUUAGUGAUGCCUUCUGAGCAGCUUGUUUUUGCUUAAUUACAAGUUGCUAUAGCUCUUUCCCUUACUCAAUUGUGAGCCUCUCUCCUAAUUGUGUCUCACAGAUGCCUAGUGAGGAGGUUAUUCCGCUUGUAUUUACAUCAUUACCAAUCCACCAUCAGAGUGUAUUGCUAACUGGUUCUCCUUACAAAUGCUUGUUGGAUUUGUUUUGUGUUUUCAGUUUUAUGUUCCAUUGCUUGACUACUUUUUCUUUGGUUUUAAUCCAAACUUCUACUUCAGCCUCUGCUCAUGAAGUCUCCCUCUCCCGAGUCCUUUGGGUUGCAAUAAUCAGAGACUCAAGUUGAGUGGAGACACACACUGAACAGAUGACAUGCCAGCAAAACUUGCCCCAAAAGUUGGGGAGGGGAAUGGUGCUCAACUGAACGCAGCUGCUCUUGGGAGAGUCUUGACGGAGACCUUUGCAUUGACGGUGCCUGGCAUCAGUGAUUGAGGCGGGGCCAUCUGAUCGACUUUUGUCUCUGAAGGAAAACCCUGAGGAAACUCCCUACAGCCCUCAGUGGCUGGUGGAUGGAUAAAGAGGUGGAAAGACAUAGGUCCAGGCCGUAGAUUCCGCUAUCAGGAUCUCCUCAUCCAUGGAUCAGCACACAGCCCUAGGCCUACCUACCAUCUCUUAAGAGGGAACUGCACAAGACACUUCAUUCUCUUUAAUCUGCUCUACCCUGUCAUAUACCGUUGUUUAUGAUGCUAACAAUUACGAUGGUGCAAUAGCACACUCAGUGACUCAUCAGCGCCCGCCUUCCAGAGGCACUCAGCUUUCACAUACGCGCCUCACCCCACAGACUUAUAGGAAAUUCGGCCUUCUCCUACACUCUACAAUCAGACACCCACCCUCUGCCUUGUCAGGAAGGUAAGAAGCUUUUCCUUGGAGUACUGUCAGCUUUGACACUGCUUCCACUCUGUCCUCAGAGUGGGACAACAAUCUGACCUCAGAAUACAUUUCCAGCAUGUAGGAUUCUGCCUUAUUUUUUACCCAGUCUCCUGCUAAUAACUGGCUUCCCGCUUUUUCUGCCCCCACCUGAGUCUUUGCUGCACUUUGCUGACCAAGAUCCUUCCAUCUCAGGGAAUGGAGCCACGCCACUGACGGAUGGGCCUUCUCAGGUGUUUUUCAGGUCCUGAAUUCCAGCAAAACAGCUGAACAGCUGAUGGCAAGCAGUUUGAAGACCUCCACAGAGGAACCAAAUCAGCAUGAGAAUACAGUUUCUUCCCCCAUGACUUCACCCUGCACUCUUCCAUCAAUCAACAAUCUCCACUCUCUUAAAAAUCCUAGCCCAGCACUCCUUGGGGAGACAGAUUGAGGUUCCCUCUUAUCUCCUCGUUCAGCAGCCCUACAAUUAAACUUCUUUCUCUGCUGCAA